AAAAAUGUUCAGAGUAACAAACAUCAAAAGGACACAAUAAUUAUAAAAAUGGCGGUCAUUUUUGGGUAUUGUGGCCAUAUGCAUUAGGAGUCCAGCAAGAUGGAGCCCCGCCACACGAUGCUUUACCCGUUUGCAAUUAUCUAGAAGAAGCUUUUCCAAAUCGUUGUAUAGGUAGACAAGGGUUCAUUGAAUGGCCACCCAGACUACCAGAUUUAACUCUCCUCGACUAUUUUUUAUGGAAAUAUUUAUAAAGUAAAGUGUAUGUCAUUAAACCAGUGAGUUUAGAAGAUUUAAAAGAACAAAUGCGCUAGGAAAUUGGAAAUAUUACUCCAGAUGUCAUUGACAACGUUCAAAAAGAAUUUUUAAAUCGCCUUGGUUAUUGUCAAGUUGUUAAAGGUGCUUAGUUCGAACAUUUAAUUUAGGGUCUAGCGGAUUUUAGCGGAAUUUCUCCUCAUAAACAACGGAGAAAACAUUCAGCGAGUUGGCAACACUGCACAGCACCUUAGCAAUGGG